ensembl:lncRNA
GCAGAUGUGGGCAAUUCCUUUGUUAUGUCAUUGUCAGUUAAGCAGAUAAAAAGCCUCGAGAUCAUUUGAGGUGUGGUGCUUGCAUUUUGACGAUUUUGCUGCGAACAAACAAGGUGCGGCUCUGUAUGCAGGUGCAACAAGCAAUCCUUAAGCUGAAAAAACAGAAGAAAAAAACAAUUGCUACAAUAUCAGGAGUGGCAAAAACUACAGUUUGGUACAUCCUGAGAAAGAUAGAAAGCACUCGUGAACUCAGCACCUGGACCUGGAGGUCCACAGAAGACAACAGUGGUGGAUGAUCACAGAAUCAUUUCCAUGGGGAAGAGAAACCCCUUCAUUUCAUGUCUUGAUGCAUGCUCAAUCAUCCAGGUAAGGAAAUCCCAAAAAGGGGAUUCUGUUCACCUGGACAAAGUGUUUUCAGUGGAAGAAACAUUUUGUCACUCAUCCAAGUGACUUCUUCACUCUCAGCUGGCUGCAGGUUUCCCCAAUCUUAUAAACAGUAAAUUUGCACAAUGACUGAAACUGGGCAGUGGGCUGUGAGGUCAUAACCUCACAACAUCCAACCAACUGAACUACACCGUCUACCAGAAAGAGAAGACUGAAUGAAAGUAAAUGCAAAUGGUUCACUGCAAGGUCCAAGCCACUCAUAAGACUCAAGAAUAGAAAGGCUCAAAAAAACCAAACAAACACAGUCCUGGAAAAGUAUUCUUUGAACAAGAAAAACGCAUGCAGAAGGCGUGGAACAGCUCAUGAUCCAAAGCAUACCACAACAUCUGUAAAACACGAUGGAGGCAGUGUGAUGGUUUGGGUAUGCAUAGCUGCCGUAGGCACUGGGACACUAGUGUUUAAUGAUGAUGUGACACAGGACAGAAGAAGCUGAAUUAAUUCUGUGGUCAGAGACAUACUGUCUGCUCAAAUCCAGCUAAAUACAGUCAAAUUAAAUGGGCGGUUUUUAAUAAUACAGAUUGACAAUGAACCAAAACCUACACCCAAAGCAACCCAGGAGUUUAUUCAAGCAAACAAGUGGAAUAUUCUUGAAUGGCCUGGUCAGCCACCAUAUCUUGAUCCAGCUGAGCAUUUCACUUGUUGAAGACUAAACUUCAGACAGAAAGGCCCACAGACAAACAGAAAUUGGAUGCCGCUGCAGUAGAGGCCUGGCAGAGCAUCAAAAAGCAGGAAACACAGCAUGUCCAUGAGUUCAAGACCUCAGGCUGUCAUUGCCAGCAAAGUUGGAUCACUGCAGUAAUGGAGCAUUUGAAGGCACUUUGUCUCAGGCUGCCUCCUCCUUCAUGGACCUUCUCGAUAUUUCAAACAUCUCCACUGCUGUGAAGGAUGCUGUUCACCUGUUGGUCAGCGCGUUGGACACUCUGCCAGAUGAAGUGCCGCCACUUCUGACCUGCUGCAGUCCAGACACUCUGAGAGUGCUCAACCAGUUGGUGGAUGGUCUGAAGGACGGUCGGGCCACACUGCCAGAGUCCCUGCCCGUCCCCCUGCAGGAGGGAGGGGAGCUCCGCUGGGCGGCCGAGUUCAUCUGUUUGAACGAUCAGAAGCUGAAAGAGUUGAGUGACGGCUGGGACCGGCCCGAGCUGCCCCCAGAGGUUCUGCUGGAGGUUCUGUGCCUCGCUGUGCAGGGACUCAGCCUCCUGAUGCAGCCCACAACAAACCCUUAAUGUCAGCUGCUGUGAUCUUUGUUAACCUGUUUUCACAGCAGCGUUCUGCAUCUUUGAACGUUUCUGCCAUUGUUUCCUGAACUUUCAUCUGUCAAAGAUCAAAAACAAAAAGAAUAAUCUAAUAAAAUAUAUAUAUAUUUUUAAAUAAAUAAAACUUCAUACUUUUAUGUUCGGCUCAUGGUUUUAAUAUUUUAUUAGUUUUUGCUGCACUCCUUUAUGUUCUGUCCUGUUCCCUCCUCUGUGCCCCUGACCCUGUUUCCAUGCUUGUUUACUGUUAGUUAUUUUUACAAUAUUGAUAUAGAACUAAUCUCUUGAAAUAUCAUAUAUCAGAUUUGGUACUUGAGAGACAAGAAAAAGAAGUGACAGCAUGCAGAGAAGGAGGCUAAACAUUGUGCCCUCUGCUCCAGAGACAGUCCUCACAAACAGGCGAUAGAAACUGUAGGGUCAGAGUCUGGACUGAACCUGUCAAGAGUAUUUUUGUUUUUAAAGGUUUUAUUAUUCAUAUAAUAAUCAGCUAAGAGUGUUUAUAUUUCUGUCUUGUACUCAACCAGCUGCAUAUUUUAAUUGCUGGCUCUCUACUCUGUAACGGAAACUGUUUGCCUUCACAUUAAUUGUCAGCAGCAGGAAACCGCCACCCAAGAGCAAGAAACAACCUUGUAGAGAAUACAAAGUUCUUGAGAAAUCCCACCUGCUUGCUUGACAAGAUAAGCAUGAUAUUUCCUUUUUUGUAUGCUUCCUGUUGUGUAUAAAUAAAGGCAGCGAGCUGCUCCACGGUGUGUGAGUCUCCCCCUGAGUCUCUCACCCGUGCACGUUAAACUGCUGAA